GAAGAAUUGAAGGAGAAACCCUUGGUCCUAACUUCCGGUAACGGUCAGGGACUAACCAAUAGGAAGUUGUCUGCCUCUGCAGCUCCUUUCAACCCAUCAACACCCAUUCCUCGUGCUGCACCAUGCCCCGUGAACAUCGUCCUUCCUCCUGGACCUGGACCUGUUCCAGCCAUUGCACCUUGGCCAGUGAACAUGCCUAUUCAUCCUGCAUCUCCUCCUGUCUUACCAAAUCCAGCAUGCUCUUCCCCUCACCAUCCAUUUCCUUCACCUCCUCCAACUCCAAACAUGAUGCAGCAUCUACCCUUUAUGUAUCCACCCUAUUCUCAACCCCAACCUGUACCAACAAGCACCUUUCCUCUAACU
rnacentral:lncRNA from 1 species